UUAGAUGGGGGAAAAGUGUGACACCAAACAGGCCCCCAGAGGCAGGGGCAUUUUUAGGAUUUGAAGACAUUGGGAGCUUAGCUCAAAGCCAGUUGGCGUUCCGGAGGCAAAGGAAUUUCAACAGCUAAAAUUCAUAAGUUUGGUGCACUUUGAGAUGAACAUUGAGAGAUUAGCUCUUUAUCAGAGUUCCAAGUUGUCUUGAAAGCACCAUAAAUUCAGAGAAUGCCAGACUGUGAUGACAAAGUUUGAAAACAAAAUUAGCCCACAAAGGACCACCGCUCCACCUUCCUGUUCAAGUGAGCACAGCACAACAAGAUUUACUUGCUAAAAUCACCACUGGUCCUGCCCCUGGCUGCUGCUGUUCUAAGUGCUCCCUUGGCCCGCUGUUGUAAUCUGUCCUCCUCCAUCUGCAAGG